GGGGAAGGUUCUCUAUCUGGAGAUCCUGUCUGCUGGAGUGUGUGGUGAGCCGUGGUCCUCAGGGCGGAUGGAGCAAGUUGAAGAAGCCUCUUUAGAAGUGUUUUCUUAGACUUCUAAACCAGAACUUCUAUGGAUUCAAUAUUGGACCUCUGACACUAAAAAUUGUGCUUUCACCUUAUUCUAAGAGAGUGAAAAAAGGAGAGGAGAGGAAAGGAGAUGGCACUCAUAAUGCAAAAUAAAUAAUCCAAUAUUUAUUGCCUGUAAAAAAGGAAAUUCUCAUCAACUACGAAUGAUGCCAUUACUCGAAUCCUUAGAGCUGCAUCCAGAAUGACGGUUUCAAUGGAAGAGGUUCACACUGGUUCUAUUCUUCCAUCAUGUUGAGAAUGGGGAAAUUUUCCCCCUCUUCUGGGUAGCAUUCAUUAUUCCAUCUCAUGCGUGGUCUGCUUGUUUCAGCCCUUGGCUGUAUAUGUACAGGAAUGCAUGUGCUUGAGCCAGGAAGCAUCUGAUGAGGGCAGAGAGAUAAAAGAGCAGCCAGGACAUGGAAUAAGGCAGCACACAAUUUCUUAUGAGCUGCAGGUCACUGUGUAGCAGCACUGGCCAUGCUAGGAAGCAUGAAGAGGCAUCUUAAGACCUGAAAGCAUAUCUGUGGCAUGCAGUUUAAGCAGCAGCCCAUGGCUCUUUGGAGUACUCAGACCUUGUAGUGUGGGAGAUGGACCACAGAUGCUCAGUGUGCUCAGGAAUUGCUGCUCUUGCCUUGGUAACACAUGAAAGAGAACCUUGAUGCAUCUGAGAAGAAAGAGUACUGUGAGCUGAGACCUCCUCUUAACUCUUAUGGUGUGAUGCUGCUGUUGAGCAUGGCAUUCAUACCCACCUGUUGACCUGCACUUCUGCAGCUUAUGCCCAUGGGAGAGCAAGUCUCAAACAUAGCAACAGCCUGGUUGGCACUCUGGGAUGCUCCUACCUGUUUAAUCCAGAUCUCAUGUAGCCUACGGGAAGCUCCAGAGGGGUCUGAUUCACAUUGAAUUCCUGUCAAUCUUUUUUGAAGACCACGUUUUCCAGCCCUGGAGUUAGUGGCUGCUGGAGGAAUCACAGUCUCUCCAUAGUCCAAAAGAUUUCCAGCUUAACCAAUGCCAUUUGCUUGCUGUGCUACGGUCACUUUGCCAUGCACAUGCCCUAAUUUUCUGUCCUCUGGGUCUGACACCAUUAAUCUGCCUACAAAUGGCCCAGAGCACAAAGACCGCCUCUGUUCUGUGCUCCUUCUGCUGUCUCUCCUGUUGGAAGCAAAUGCAUGUGUGAAAGAAGUCAAGCUCCUCUGUGCCUCAUUCCCAAGAGAAAUGACCUGGAAAAAGGACCGUUCCUCAGACCUUUUUAUGCGUUGUGCCAAAGCUCAGGAUAUGGACUACUAAUGUAAAGUUCAAUGGCAAAAUAUGAUUUUUUCAACUCAGUAGCAAUUGUAAAGAAACUAUAAAACAGGUCUAGGUGAUUCAUCCCAAUCUUCGUCCUUCUCACAGAAGCAUUGGUGAAUGGAAUAGGAAGGAACGCAUUCCUGGGAUGGUCCUCAUCAUCCACAAAGAAGGAACAUGUGGUAGAUGUUGGGUUUUGAUGCUCAUGCAAGUAGAGAUACAAAUAAGUGAGAUGUAAUAUCUAUUGCAAAUCUCUCUGAACUUCUUUUGAGGAUAAAAUAGUAGAACAAAUGGAGAGGCAAAGAAGAAAGUGGUGGUAUUUAGAUGCAGAUCGGAACUGCAAAAAAUGUUUGGCCUGAGGCAAAUCCAGAACUAAACUCUUGUUUAAGGUUUGGUAACAAAUUCCCACCAGCAGGUCUGCUUAGGUAUCCACUAGCCUCGAAAGCAUAUCAUCUGGUUCAGAAAAUCCAAGUCUUUUAAUAUGUAACUUCCAAGUAAAAGAUUAAUGCUUUUGAGGAAAAAAUGGAUCCAAGUUUACAAAUCUCCACCACCCACUGCCAUGUUAAUAUAGCUUAUAGAUCAGAGGCAGCUUGUGCUCAGACUGCAUCUUUUUUCCAAUGUAUCCUUUGGAUGCAGAACUGGAAAACUAACUCAGUGCCUGUAAACUUUUCUGAUCACUGAAUUUAACUGGAAAAAUCAGACAUAAAUGCACAGUGGAACCCUAUCAUCCAAAACCACUGAAACUUUAAGUCCUCCUUGUAUCCUGUGAGAGAAUGUCAGUAUUGAGACAAUUUCCUAGAUCUUAGCAUUUAUUUCCCUUGUGUUUUUUAAAUAAAAAUCAAAGAUAGUUAAUAUGAUGGCCUAGUGAUUAAACAUAUUUAGUUCCCAUUGAAAAGGAAAUGGGUUAUGGCUCUGCAUGCAGGCAAUGUAUCAUUUCUUCUUUAAAAAAAAAAACACAAGAAAUCCUACCACAACAAAUGAUAAUCUCUUUCAACAAAAAUAUUUUCUUUGGCUAAUCCACUUCUUCAGCCUGCACUGCCUGAAUUGUUUUUCUGAGAGGUCUAGCGUAUGAUACAGAUCAGAUAGGAUGCUUUAUUUUGCACCAAGUAAUUGAAUUAAUUGGUACAGCCAAUGAUCAAUGUUAAUUAAAAAAAACUACAAAGGCUUUGCAUUCCGAAGCUUUCCAAGAAAAUAUUUGAGUUGUGAAGCCAUUUUAAUCAUCUAGUUAACCCUUCCAUCUGCAAUUCUGUCAAAAAAAAAAAAAUCCUUUCCUACACUUACACACACUAAAUAGCCCUAUUAAUUUUAACUGGUGCUAUCAUGGGACCAAGGAAAGAGAAGAAGUGCAGUUCACUAACAUCUCCCUUCCUCAGCUGAAAUGACAGAAUAGUUCAUGACAGAAAUGCUCAUUAUAACCUAAUGGACAUUUUCAGGUGAUGCUACAAAGGCACGCUGAAUUGGGAGGCCUUCUAGAAGGACACAAGGGAUGAGUCCUUCCUCUUGUCAGACCUUCUGACCAACCUUCCCUUGUGCCCUGCAGUUAUCACAUUAUUAGGACUUUCUGUGAUGUUCUGUGACACAGAAGCAACUUAUGGGGCAAGAAUCCUGAAUGUGUAUUAUUCAGGGCCAGGACAGAAUAGAUUUCCUCCCUAACUCUGAAGUUAUCAGUUUGGCAAACUUGUGAUUAACUGUGCUACUGUUCUGAUAGCCUCAAGAAAGAUGUGGUGCUUGUCCUGAGAAACUGGAAACAUCAUGGUUUGAACAGCUGUUUAAUAUGGACACUUUUGAAUUGCUCAUUUCCUCCUGCUACUAUAACCUUUCUUGCUAGCAUAAUCUAUUGACUGUAACGUUGUCGGAAGUGAGCACAUUCAGUGGGAAGCCAGAGAUGCAUCCAUCUUCUG